rnacentral:rRNA from 1 species
UACGGAGGGGGCGAGCGUUAUUCGGAAUUACUGGGCGUAAAGCGCGUGCAGGCGGGAGAGUGGGUCUGAUGUGAAAGCCCGGGGCUUAACCCCGGAAGAGCAUUGGAAACUGCUUUUCUUGAGUUUCGGAGAGGAAGGGGGAAUUCCCGGUGUAGAGGUGAAAUUCGUAGAGAUCGGGAGGAACACCAGUGGCGAAGGCGCCCUUCUGGACGACAACUGACGCUGAGACGCGAAAGCGUGGGGAGCAAACAGG